rnacentral:rRNA from 1 species
UACGGAGGGUGCAAACGUUGCUCGGAAUCAUUGGGCGUAAAGCGCACGUAGGCGGCCUGUUAAGUCGGGUGUGAAAGCCCUGGGCUUAACCCAGGAAGUGCAUUCGAAACUGGCGGGCUUGAAUAUGGAAGAGGGUCGCGGAAUUCCCGGUGUAGAGGUGAAAUUCGUAGAUAUCGGGAGGAACACCAGUGGCGAAGGCGGCAGCCUGGACCGAUACUGACGCUGAGACGCGAAAGCGUGGGGAGCGAACAGG